GAUGAACGCUGGCGGCGUGCCUAAUACAUGCAAGUCGAGCGAACGGACGAGAAGCUUGCUUUUCUGAUGUUAGCGGCGGACGGGUGAGUAACACGUGGAUAACCUACCUAUAAGACUGGGAUAACUUCGGGAAACCGGAGCUACUACCGGAUAAUAUUUUGAACCGCAUGGUUCAAAAGUGAAAGACGGUCUUGCUGUCACUUAUAGAUGGAUCCGCGCUGCAUUAGCUAGUUGGUAAGGUAACGGCUUACCAAGGCAACGAUGCAUAGCCGACCUGAGAGGGUGAUCAGCCACACUGGAACUGAGACACGGUCCAGACUCCUACGGGAGGCAGCAGUAGGGAAUCUUCCGCAAUGGGCGAAAGCCUGACGGAGCAACGCCGCGUGAGUGAUGAAGGUCUUCGGAUCGUAAAGCUCUGUUAUUAGGGAAGAACAUAUGUGUAAGUAACUGUGCACAUCUUGACGGUACCUAAUCAGAAAGCCACGGCUAACUACGUG
rnacentral:rRNA from 1 species